UACGGAGGGUGCAAGCGUUGUCCGGAUUUAUUGGGUUUAAAGGGUGCGUAGGCGGCCCUGUAAGUCAGUGGUGAAAUACUGCAGCUUAACUGUAGCAUUGCCAUUGAUACUGUAGGGCUUGAGUACAGAUGAGGUAGGCGGAAUUGAUGGUGUAGCGGUGAAAUGCAUAGAUACCAUCAAGAACACCGAUUGCGAAGGCAGCUUACUAAGCUGUAACUGACGCUGAGGCACGAAAGCGUGGGGAUCGAACAGGAUUAGAUACCCUGGUAGUCCACGCUGUAAACGAUGAUUACUCGAUGUUCGCGAUAUACAGUGAGCGUCCAAGCGAAAGCGUUAAGUAAUCCACCUGGGGAGUACGCUCGCAAGAGUGAA
rnacentral:rRNA from 1 species